GACGAACGCUGGCGGCGUGCUUAACACAUGCCAGUCGAACGGAAAGACCCUGCUUUUGUGGGGUGCUCGAGUGGCGAACGGGUGAGUAACACGUGAGUAACCUGCCCUUGACUUUGGGAUAACUUCAGGAAACUGGGGCUAAUACCGGAUAGGAGCUCCUGCUGCAUGGUGGGGGUUGGAAAGUUUCGGCGGUUGGGGAUGGACUCGCGGCUUAUCAGCUUGUUGGUGGGGUAGUGGCUUACCAAGGCUUUGACGGGUAGCCGGCCUGAGAGGGUGACCGGCCACAUUGGGACUGAGAUACGGCCCAGACUCCUACGGGAGGCAGCAGUGGGGAAUAUUGCACAAUGGGCGGAAGCCUGAUGCAGCAACGCCGCGUGCGGGAUGACGGCCUUCGGGUUGUAAACCGCUUUCGCCUGUGACGAAGCGUGAGUGACGGUAAUGGGUAAAGAAGCACCGGCUAACUACGUG
rnacentral:rRNA from 1 species